rnacentral:rRNA from 1 species
UACGUAGGGGGCAAGCGUUGUCCGGAAUCAUUGGGCGUAAAGAGCGUGUAGGCGGCCCGAUAAGUCCGCUGUGAAAGUCCAGGGCUCAACCCUGGAAUGCCAGUGGAAACUGUCGGGCUGGAGUCCGGAAGAGGCGAGUGGAAUUCCUGGUGUAGCGGUGAAAUGCGUAGAUAUCUGGAGGAACACCGGUGGCGAAGGCGGCGUUCUGGACUGCAACUGACACUGAGGAACGAAAAGCCAGGGGAGGCAAACGGG